UUGCCUUAGUACGGCGAGUGAAGCGGCAAAAGCUCAAAUUUGAAAUCUGGUACCUUCGGUGCCCGAGUUGUAAUUUGGAGAGGGCAACUUUGGGGCCGUUCCUUGUCUAUGUUCCUUGGAACAGGACGUCAUAGAGGGUGAGAAUCCCGUGUGGCGAGGAGUGCGGUUCUUUGUAAAGUGCCUUCGAAGAGUCGAGUUGUUUGGGAAUGCAGCUCUAAGUGGGUGGUAAAUUCCAUCUAAAGCUAAAUAUUGGCGAGAGACCGAUAGCGAACAAGUACAGUGAUGGAAAGAUGAAAAGAACUUUGAAAAGAGAGUGAAAAAGUACGUGAAAUUGUUGAAAGGGAAGGGCAUUUGAUCAGACAUGGUGUUUUGUGCCCUCUGCUCCUUGUGGGUAGGGGAAUCUCGCAUUUCACUGGGCCAGCAUCAGUUUUGGUGGCAGGAUAAAUCCAUAGGAAUGUAGCUUGCCUCGGUAAGUAUUAUAGCCUGUGGGAAUACUGCCAGCUGGGACUGAGGACUGCGACGUAAGUCAAGGAUGCUGGCAUAAUGGUUAUAUGCCGCCCGUCUUGAACAACCGGACCAAAA
rnacentral:rRNA from 1 species